CUGCCCGUAGCUCAGUUGGAUAGAGCAUCGGCCUUCUAAGCCGAGGGUCGGGGGUUCGAACCCUCCGGGCAGGCCA
rnacentral:tRNA from 1 species